rnacentral:rRNA from 1 species
GGGUUGUGAGGUUAAGCGACUAAGCGUACACGGUGGAUGCCCUGGCAGUCAGAGGCGAUGAAGGACGUGCUAAUCUGCGAUAAGCGUCGGUAAGGUGAUAUGAACCGUUAUAACCGGCGAUUUCCGAAUGGGGAAACCCAGUGUGAUUCGUCACACUAUCAUUAACUGAAUCCAUAGGUUAAUGAGGCGAACCGGGGGAACUGAAACAUCUAAGUACCCCGAGGAAAAGAAAUCAACCGAGAUUCCCCCAGUAGCGGCGAGCGAACGGGGAGGAGCCCAGAGCCUGAAUCAGUGUGUGUGUUAGUGGAAGCGUCUGGAAAGGCGCGCGAUACAGGGUGACAGCCCCGUACACAAAAAUGCACAUGCUGUGAGCUCGAUGAGUAGGGCGGGACACGUGGUAUCCUGUCUGAAUAUGGGGGGACCAUCCUCCAAGGCUAAAUACUCCUGACUGACCGAUAGUGAACCAGUACCGUGAGGGAAAGGCGAAAAGAACCCCGGCGAGGGGAGUGAAAAAGAACCUGAAACCGUGUACGUACAAGCAGUGGGAGCACAGAGCAAUCUGUGUGACUGCGUACCUUUUGUAUAAUGGGUCAGCGACUUAUAUUCUGUAGCAAGGUUAACCGAAUAGGGGAGCC